rnacentral:sRNA from 1 species
UCUCUCUUUCUCUCUCUCUCUCUCUCUCUCUGGCUACCUACCUCUGUGUGCACACCUCACAGUAUGACUUUUAACCCUGCUGGUAGUCCCUUGGUGUGGGCAUUCAACUCCCAAUAAACCAGGAGGACCUGCAUGUGCCAUUCAACCUGGGGUCAAGGACUGUGCUGCCGUUUUUGAGAGUUUGCCAUAGGCUGGCCCGAAGUUCUCCGUUCUCUUGAGUUAGCUCCCAGAGGAAUGAGAUGCACACUGCUCUUUUCUUCGUUUUGUGUCCUUUGAGUCUUGAACUUGUGAGCCUUCCGCCUCUCAGUCCCCUGAGAAAGUGGCCUGUUACCAUGUCUUCUCAGUCACCGACUCUGUUUGAAUUUCCAGCUCCUAAAAACUGGCUGAAGUUGUAAUGCUUUUGUGCCGAUUCUGCAAGUUGGUGUGUCUGUGUCUGAGCCUGGUGCGUGCCAAGCAGAAGGUGGCUGUCCCCCUCCACCUUCCUCUUCACACCACAGACCUAGGCCUUGUGUUUCAUACACAGCCAGCAGGUCUCAAGCCCCAGAAGAGAAAGCCAUCCCUUUAUCAUCCUCGGUGGCACUUGGUGGUCUUAUUCUUUUGAAAGCGUCAAUGUUUGCUCAGUGGUGUGAGUCUUAAAUAAGCAUCUAUAUGACAAACUGCAGAUGAUGAAAGCUGUCCGUGGAAAAAAGUCAUCUCACACGAUCAUGUUUCCAUCAUUAACUGGGGCCUCCGCAGUGGGCAAAUCUUUGCAGCUACUAAAUGAUAACAUUAGUCCUAAUACCAUGUGAAAUGACUAGUUCCUCCGGGUAGGUUUAUUUUUAAUGGUGUUAUGUCAGCGGCAAAUAGCUGGGAAGACCCCAGAGGAAAAGCCCUGUUCUCACUCUCACUGGAGUGAUGAUAUGGAUGUAUUUAAUAUCUAUAUUAAAAACCUUUUAGGCUCUGUGGUGAUAUUGAACUGGAUAGUUAGACACGCGCAGGCAAACCCCAGAGUUGUUUAUAGGAGCGCUCAGCAGUGUGUGCCGGACAGCUUCUUGAGGUUGUUCAAAGUCAAACUUGAGCUUCGAAAAAUCAUUGACAGACAUUUGUCUCCUGCAGUAAAAUGCUCAGAAACACAGGACCAGUGGAUAAGAUCCUUCCAUCCCUGCUUUGCUCCGAUUCACUGCAAGUGGCCUCGAUUUGAUGUGCCUAACUUUGGGAAUCAUCGUGUAGACUUUGACUCUGAUCUCAGCCCUGACGCUGGAUGGCUGUGUGAUUCUAGGUGAGCUGGUGUGUCUCUGAGCCUCGUCGAUUUCGGUCAAAGAGAAGUCUUGAUUAACAUGGGCAGAAAGGAUGCCAACGGUGACUUUCAUCACUCCUGUUUGAUUCCUGUCUUCUUCACCCUUCAGAGCCAGCAAGAGUUUGCUGGCUUGGAUGUUCCUGGGUGGCGGAGUCCAUAGUCUGAGGGCAAGGAGGUCUUGGAAGCAGUUUUCCUGGGUAGAACCUAGUUUUCAGCUGAGACUCCCACCCUCAACACACAUCAAGCUGAAGAUGAGCCCUCUGCCUUUUUUCUAAUACGGAGUUGGAUGUCCCCAGACCAGUAAGAACUUACAUUUGGAAUUCUUUAGACGUUUAUAAAGUCCUGCUGGCUCUGAGAGUUAUAUAUUAAUCUGAUAUAAUAUUCCGUGGGAACUGGCCAGAGACACAUGGUAGGAGCACUUCUGCUGUUGUACUUUUGUACAUUGGUUUUGUUUGGACUGGUAAAUUUUCUCCCAUCUUUAUAGGCCUGCCUUCCUCUCUUCCUCGUUUCAAUGUGUGUAGCACAAUAUGUCCGUGAGAGCCAUGUUGUUUAUUAUCUGUAGUUUUGCUUUUUCAUUCUUGUCAAGAUUUUGUAUCCCUGCCUAAAGCUUAGUGGGAUUUCUCUGCAGGUUUGGCCUGCCUGUGCUGCUUUCUUCCUGGCUAACCUGUGGUGGUUCAUGCUCCUCUCUGGCCUCCUUCAACGGCCCUACUAUGGUCAAGGUGACUUUGAUUCAAAGUUUUAAGCUUGCCCCAAGUUCCAAGAACAUUCUCCUCUUAAUGCCCCCAUGUUUCUCCCUGUCUGUUAACAUGGACCAAGUACCUGCUUUCUGGGCUGAUUUAUGGCUGUAUUAGGGAAAACUCUACCAGGGAUAUAAAACGCAGUGUCCCCACGCUUGGGCCUGAUCUUACACGUUAUCAGUGAUUGCAAGUGCAUUUUAUAACCCUGUGCCAAAUCGAAAUCAAGGUGAUUUGUGCUUCAAUCUCCCGGAUAAAAUCAGGGCAUGCUCUAUUGCAGUCUGACCUUCUUAGUACCUUUGCUGGUGCAACUUGACCAUGUGCCUUGGACAAUUAUUGGCGACAGCUGAGGAGUGACCCGAGCUGCUUAGCUGCUCAUCCUGGAGACUCCUCAGAGGUGACGGCUCCUGUGGGCUUUGUAGCAUCUCCAAGGAUCUUUCAAAGCAUCUUUGACCUCCCCAGCUUGUCUAAGAAGUGAACUCUUAGAGCAAGCUGACCGGAGCCCCAGAGAGGCUCUCUCUGCCUCGUACUUAACCCGAGAGCUCAGCUAACUGCAGGCCAGGGAAGCCGCUCAGCUUUUGAAUGAUCAGGGACAGGGAAUCACCGUGCUCUCACUACUGCUGUCAACUAUCAGUGCUACUUGCAGUUGUUACAGAACAAGGUCAGGACUUCCAGAAAAACCGGAGUCCCCUGUAAAGUUCCAGUCUGAACUGCACUUUUCCACAAUGCAGUACAAGUCUGUCAGGGUUAAAGCUUGAUGUCAAAUCUCCUUCAUGUGGCUGGUUGGAGGGGGUACUUUGGAUAAAUAUUUUAAGUUAAGGUUUUAUGACUAUAAUCUGAAUUUUUCAACUUAUAUUUAACCCAAGCUUCUUUUUAAAGCAAUUUCAUCUCUUUUGAUUUUAUACCCUUUCAUAGCCUAGGGAGGAGCUCAGAUGUCUCUUCAAGUGCCACAGCCUGCUUUGUGAAACCCUUUUAAGAUAUGCUAAUGGAUGGGGUGAUUAUUAAGAUAAAUGCCUUGUGUAGGAAACCGGACUUAAUUAUAAUAUCUAUAAUUAGUCACCGGUCAGCCUGGAAGUUAUAAUUUAUUGUUCCCUAAUUUGCCUUUAUUACCAAAGAUAUUUAACUUAAAGGGAUUAUUUUUAGGAAUAGCCUGAUUUGAAUGGUAAGCAUUUAGCAAAUGUCAAAACUAUUUUUUUUCAAACUUUUCUAAACUCAUAUAUAAUUUUAGGAUAUAGCACACAAGCAUGGAGAGGGGUGUUUGUACUUGUUGAUUAAGAGAAUGGAAACGCUACUUCAUAAGAAGAAAUGAUAAAGGUUGUUCCUUCCAGACCCUUAUUUUUAGAACACCAGGUAAACUUUUAUAUUAGGCAGGUUUGAGUUGGGGUGAUGGGAAUAUGCUGUUUGCAUGGCCGGUGAGGUGUCUCUCAUUUUUAAAAAAUUUAUAAUCUUUUUCUCUCAUCUAUCUGUCUGCCUAUCUAUCUAUCUAUAUCUACCUA